AAAAUAAUUAUCAGUCAUCUUGCAGUGACAAUAAUCAAACAAAAAUGAGAAAAUUUCAUGUCAAGAAAAUUUCAGUAUAAUAUACAUUUACUUUUUAAUUUGAUGAAUUUAAAAUGAGCCAUGAAUGUUACACAAUGAUGUGUUGUACAUAUAAACAUGAUAAAGUUGUAUAAUACUGUGUAGUUUGGUUGCUGUCACAUGAAUGUAUACCUAACAUCUCAUUGUUUUUAUAUUUCAUCUCAUAUUUGAUUUCUAUUUCAAUCAAUUAUUCUUUUUAAAAAAAGUUGAAUUUAUGGAAGCUGGCAUAUCAUGUUUUGGAUUGUUUGUCAGAUUUUCAGAAUCCUCUGGUUUUAUCCAUUUGAAUGAAAAAAUUUGCCCGGUGACCCCCAUUUUUCUUUUAAAAAAUCUUUUCCAUAUUUAAUGAUAAGCCAUCUGUAAAAGUCUUAUAAAAUUUUAAUUUCUUUUAACAGUUUUUGAGAGCUUCAACUUGUCAAUGAUAAGGCUAUGAAAGUUAAGAGAGAAUAUUUUCCUGCUAAAAUUUCAAUGACUCAUAUCUUGAAAGCAAGCACGGUGACCGAUAUAUUUUUUUUGCUCUUUGGAUUCCUUUAUUAAUUCCCUAUCAAUAUAAACUAGUGUUUCGAAAAGUUAAUUACUUUGAAACUGAGAUGUGAACUUCCUUAUAAGACUAUUAACCCAAAUAUAAAUAUCAUAUUAAAUUUAAGGAUUUUAAUCUAGGUCCUUUUUAAGUUAUUGUAGAUCAAAUUUAAGACCUUUCAAUAACAAAAUAA
rnacentral:lncRNA from 1 species